CGAAGGGGCUAGCGUUGCUCGGAAUCACUGGGCGUAAAGGGCGCGUAGGCGGCUUUUUAAGUCGGGGUGAAAGCCUGUGGCUCAACCACAGAAUUGCCUUCGAUACUGGAAAGCUUGAGACCGGAAGAGGACAGCGGAACUGCGAGUGUAGAGGUGAAAUUCGUAGAUAUUCGCAAGAACACCAGUGGCGAAGGCGGCUGUCUGGUCCGGUUCUGACGCUGAGGCGCGAAAGCGUGGGGAGCAAACAGGAUU
rnacentral:rRNA from 1 species